UACGUAGGGUGCAAGCGUUUGUCCGGAUUUAUUGGGUUUAAAGGGUGCGUAGGCGGCCCUGUAAGUCAGUGGUGAAAUACUCCAGCUUAACUGGAGGGGUGCCAUUGUAUACUGCAGGGCUUGAGUUAAGUUGAAGUUGGCGGAAUUGACGGUGUAGCGGUGAAAUGCUUAGAUAUCGUCAAGAACACCGAUAGUGAAGACAGCUAACUAAACUUUUACUGACGCUGAGGCACGAAAGUGUGGGGAUCAAACAGG
rnacentral:rRNA from 1 species